CCGGCUAAAAUAGCGGUACGCAUCUACCAAGGAACGAAUGCAGGAGUGCACGAGUUCAAGGGCUAUCUCGUCAAAUACUUGAGACUAAAAACUGUUAAUGGAUAAAGUCUAAAUGAAACACGUACAUUCACCAAUCGAUAGAUUUUCGACAAAAUAAUUAAAGAUUUUUGUACUACCGGAUACCAGCCUUGAGCCAUAGCAAGUUUUUGUGGAACAUCGGGGUCUAGCUUUUCUUCAUCAUUAUUCAAGCGUAACUUUUCUAAGUCGAAGAGCAAACUUUUGUCAUCUGCAAUAGGAUUUAAAUCUUCUUCCGUAGGGGAAUAUCGUUGAAUAUCGGUUUCAAUGGCAGUUUGUACCACAAAUAAAAGACGCUCUUGCAACUCAAGUACAAGAGGAUUAAGAAAUUCAACGACCUUUUUAUCAACGUCCUCCCUUUCCCCUUCUAAAAUGGCGUUUUGAAAUGAUUGGAUAUAAGAACACACCUCGCAAA